GCCCCGGUGGCUUAGUGGCUAUAGCACCUGACUUGUAAUCAGGAGGUCGCGAGUUCAAAUAUUGGCGCCCGAAGCGACAAUGCUUCGAACGCUAGUGAGAAUGUCUCGCCCGGGGCU
rnacentral:tRNA from 1 species